UCCUAUUGCUAUCGUCAAAGAAAGUGACUUUUAUAAAAGAACCCACGGCUAAUUGGGACUUUACUCACUCUUACUUGGAUGAGCAUCAUCCAAACUCAGAGAAUCUUACGUAUCUACAGCUUCUUCCCCUUCCAACACAGGGCCAGAGGAGAGAAAGGUUUUGGUUGUAGGUUGGUAUGGGUUCUGAUGAAGAAGAACGAUUAGAGAGGAAGAGUGAGGAAUUGAAGAAGAUUGUGGAUACAUGCAUAGCUUGCUUAUGGUCGUUUUUGGUGAGUUUGAGCGGAGCCCUGAUGUUGGGAUGGUGGGGAUAUGAAUAUCAUCCAACAAAUAGUCAGCUUUGGUUGGUACCCUUUGGUCUUAUUCUGUUUGUAACCCCACUCAUCAUUUGGUUCGCCAUUUUUGUUUCUUAUUUCUGCAAUUUUACUGGAGAUGGUUCAUCAUCAUCACUUCAUGACCCUGAAAAGAUGAUCGACCAUGUUAUUCCCACUCGCUAAUCCUAUUCAUAUUGUUUUUCAAGCUUUUCUUUCAUUCUGGGAUAAACUAUACAAGAAUUGCAGGCUUUUUCAAUAUUA